rnacentral:rRNA from 1 species
GACGAACGCUGGCGGCGUGCUUAACACAUGCAAGUCGAACGCUGAAGCUUGGUGCUUGCCCUGGGUGGAUGAGUGGCGAACGGGUGAGUAAUACGUGAGUAACCUGCCCUUGACUCUGGGAUAAGCCUGGGAAACUGGGUCUAAUACUGGAUACGACAUGCCACUGCAUGGUGGUGUGUGGAAAGGGUUUUACUGGUUUUGGAUGGGCUCACGGCCUAUCAGCUUGUUGGUGGGGUAAUGGCCUACCAAGGCGACGACGGGUAGCCGGCCUGAGAGGGUGACCGGCCACACUGGGACUGAGACACGGCCCAGACUCCUACGGGAGGCAGCAGUGGGGAAUAUUGCACAAUGGGCGGAAGCCUGAUGCAGCGACGCCGCGUGAGGGAGGACGGCCUUCGGGUUGUAAACCUCUUUCAGCACGGAAGAAGCGAGAGUGACGGUACGUGCAGAAGAAGCGCCGGCUAACUACGU